AGCCGGGCUGGGCUGGGCUCCGCGGCUGGAGCCGGGCUCUACCCAGAGCAAGACCCUGAUGGCUGCGGUGUUUCUGGUAACGCUUUAUGAAUACUCGCCGCUUUUCUACAUCGCGGUGGUCUUUACCUGCUUCAUCGUGACCACCGGCCUGGUAUUGGGAUGGUUUGGUUGGGAUGUUCCAGUAAUUCUGAGAAAUUCAGAAGAGACCCAGUUCAGCACAAGAGUUUUCAAAAAGCAAAUGAGACAAGUCAAGAAUCCUUUUGGCUUAGAGAUCACUAAUCCAUCUUCAGCUUCAAUUACAACUGGCAUAACCUUGACAACAGAUUGCCUUGAAGAUAGCCUCCUUACAUGCUACUGGGGGUGCAGUGUUCAAAAAUUAUAUGAAGCUCUGCAGAAGCAUGUUUAUUACUUCAGAAUAAGCACUCCCCAAGCAUUAGAAGAUGCUCUGUAUAGUGAAUAUCUCUAUCAGGAACAGUAUUUGUAUCCUUUCGUCUGAUAUACCCAUUAGUACUGAAAAUUAGACUUCUUACAGAUAAAGUGUUGCUAACUUAUUGAUCAUUCUUGGUAUGCUAGAAGCAUGUUUAUUGCUUCAGAAUAAGCACUCCUCAAGCAUUAGAAGAUGCUCUGUGGAGUGAAUAUCUCUAUCAGGAACAGUAUUUGUAUCCUUUCAUCUGAUAUACCCAUUAGCACUGAAAAUUAGACUUCUUAUGGAUAAAGUGUUGCUAACUUAUUGAUCAUUUUUGGUAUACUAGAAGCAUGUUUAUUGCUUCAGAAUAAGCACUCCUCAAGCAUUAGAAGAUGCUCUGUGGAGUGAAUAUCUCUAUCAGGAACAGUAUUUUAUUAAAAAGGAUAGCAAAGAAGAAAUAUAUUGCCAGUUACCAAGAGAUACUAAAAUUGAAGACUUUGGUACAGUACCCAGAUCUCGCUAUCCAUUGGUAGCGCUAUUGACCUUAGCUGAUGAGGAUGACCGGGAAAUUUAUGAUAUUAUUUCCAUGGUGUCAGUGAUUCAUAUUCCUGAUAGGACUUAUAAACUAUCCUGCAGAAUAUUGUAUCAAUAUUUACUCUUGGCUCAAGGUCAAUUUCAUGAUCUUAAGCAACUUUUCAUGUCUGCAAAUAAUAAUUUCACUCCCUCCAACAAUUCCUCUUCAGAAGAAAAAAACACAGACAGAAGUUUGUUGGAAAAGGUGGGACUCUCUGAAAGUGAAGUUGAGCCAUCGGAAGAGAACAGCAAGGACUGUGUUGUUUGCCAGAAUGGGACUGUGAACUGGGUACUCUUACCAUGCAGACACACAUGCCUGUGUGAUGGCUGUGUGAAGUAUUUUCAGCAGUGCCCAAUGUGCAGGCAGUUUGUUCAGGAAUCUUUUGCACUUUGCAGUCAAAAAGAGCAAGAUAAAGACAAACCGAAGACUCUUUGAAGACAUCGUAACACUGAAAAGUACACUUUCUACUAAAGAUGCAGAAAUUGAUGAUCUUGGAAUUCAUCAUAACAUGGAAUCUACAGUACUGACGAUCAAUGAAAAUUCUAUUUUAACUUCAUAUUUGUAUGGUACUUGGAUGAUAAAAAUUAAUUAUUCCUUUCUGCUUAGUGAAUGAAUACUGGAAUCCGUCUGUGUUGAUACAUAAAAAUUCAUUCAACUCUUGAAAAGAA
rnacentral:sRNA from 1 species